rnacentral:rRNA from 1 species
CCUACGGGAGGCAGCAGUGAGGAAUUUUCCGCAAUGGGCGAAAGCCUGACGGAGCAAUACCGCGUGAGGGAUGAAGGAUUUUGGUCUGUAAACCUCUUUUCUCAAGAAAGAAGUUCUGACGGUACUUGAGGAAUAAGCAUCGGCUAACUCCGUGCCAGCAGCCGCGGUAAUACGGGGGAUGCAAGCGUUAUCCGGAAUGAUUGGGCGUAAAGCGCCUGUAGGUUGUUUAUUAAGUCCGUUGUUAAAGCCUAGGGCUCAACCCUAGAAAAGCAAUGGAA